AUGCAGCGUAGGUCUCCGGCUGCAUCUCGACACCCGCCGCACCUAAAUGCGGCAAUCUCCAGCGCAGCUCCUUCGCCGCGCCUCCUCUCUGUCGCCCCCGCCGCACCUAAGCGCGGCCAUCUCCAUCACAGCUCCUUCGCCGGGCCUCCUCUCCGCCUGCCCCCGCCGCACCUAGGCCCGGCCGCCUCCAUCACAACUCCUUCGUCCACGCCUCCUCUCCGUCGCCACCGCUACAACCGGCGGUUCCUCUCCACGCUAGCGCUCGGGCUCUCCAUCCAGGAUCCGUCGGAGCACAAACAGGGGGCCUCCUCAGCCUCCUCUCCCAUGGCCGCAAGCCGCAACGCCUCGAGGAUGGCGCAGCCCGCCUCGUCUCCGCCGCGGGACACCCCCGAUGUUGGGUCCGGUGGAGCUGCUAGACGGCGUUCUUCCAGCUCCUCGUCUCCGUCGUCCCCUAGCUCCUUCCCGACGUCGCCGGCGCAAGACAGUUCUCCGCGAGGCGAGUGUGUGGGAUGCGAGUGA
rnacentral:rRNA from 1 species